rnacentral:rRNA from 1 species
GAUGAACGCUGGCGGCGUGCCUAAUACAUGCAAGUCGAGCGAACAGACGAGGAGCUUGCUCCUCUGACGUUAGCGGCUGACGGGUGAGUAACACGUGGAUAACCUACCUAUAAGACUGGGAUAACUUCGGGAAACCGAAGCUAAUACCGGAUAAUAUAUUGAACCGCAUGGUUCAAUAGUGAAAGACGGUUUUGCUGUCACUUAUAGCUGGAUCCGCGCCGCAUUAGCUAGUUGGUAAGGUAACGGCUUACCAAGGCAACGAUGCGUAGCCGACCUGAGAGGGUGAUCGGCCACACUGGAACUGAGACCCGGUCCAGACUCCUACGGGAGGCAGCAGUAGGGAAUCUUCCGCAAUGGGCGAAAGCCUGACGGAGCAACGCCGCGUGAGUGAUGAAGGUCUUCGGAUCGUAAAACUCUGUUAUUAGGGAAGAACAAAUGUGUAAGUAACUAUGCACGUCUUGACGGUACCUAAUCAGAAAGCCACGGCUAACUACGUG